UGUAACAUCCUAUUAUUUUAUUAUUAUUUGGCAUUUUCGUAAUUUUAAUAAAGUUAUAGGGGAUUUUUGUAACUUGGGUCGUUCCAAGUUACAAAAAUACCCCUAUAACUUUAUUAAAAUUACGAAAAUGCCAAAUAAUAAUAAAAUAAUAGGAUGUUACA
rnacentral:miRNA from 1 species